UGGAGGACUGAGAAGGUUGAUCAGCUUGUGCUGUGCUGUUAUAACUGGUUAUAGCCUCCAAGAGUAACUUACAAACCACAUUUG